UACGAAGGGGGCUAGCGUUGCUCGGAAUCACUGGGCGUAAAGCGCACGUAGGCGGCUUUUUAAGUCAGGGGUGAAAUCCUGGAGCUCAACUCCAGAACUGCCUUUGAUACUGGAGAGCUUGAGUCCGGGAGAGGUGAGUGGAAUUCCGAGUGUAGAGGUGAAAUUCGUAGAUAUUCGGAGGAACACCAGUGGCGAAGGCGGCUCACUGGCUCGGUACUGACGCUGAGGUGCGAAAGCGUGGGGAGCAAACAGG
rnacentral:rRNA from 1 species